rnacentral:piRNA from 1 species
AAGCGUGAUGAAGGGAUGGGUCUGAGG